rnacentral:tRNA from 1 species
GUUAGACUCUACUAUUAAGGA